rnacentral:rRNA from 1 species
UACGAAGGGGGCUAGCGUUGCUCGGAAUCACUGGGCGUAAAGCGCACGUAGGCGGAUUGCUAAGUCAGGGGUGAAAUCCUGGAGCUCAACUCCAGAACUGCCUUUGAUACUGGCGAUCUUGAGUCCGGGAGAGGUGAGUGGAACUGCGAGUGUAGAGGUGAAAUUCGUAGAUAUUCGCAAGAACACCAGUGGCGAAGGCGGCUCACUGGCCCGGUACUGACGCUGAGGUGCGAAAAGCGUGGGGAGCAAACAGG